GGUUGAUCCAAAAAGAAACGGACAUGGAUCAUGAGAAUGUUGCAGCGCCAUUGGGGAAUGAUGGUGGCCAAAGGGAAGAACAAGGAUAAGAUAUGCCAUUCAGUGGACAAGAAUGGCUAUGAUGCUUGACAAGGUUGCAGCAGAACACUUAUCCAGUCGUUUACCCUAAAUAACACGACCAAGCAAUUCGACUAGAGCAUGAAGAUUGUAUAAAUCAAAUCACCUUUGCAUGCGAUAAGCCACUCAUGGAGGGUUA
rnacentral:misc_RNA from 1 species